rnacentral:rRNA from 1 species
AUUGAACGCUGGCGGCAUGCUUUACACAUGCAAGUCGAACGGCAGCGCGGGCUUCGGCCUGGCGGCGAGUGGCGAACGGGUGAGUAAUACACCGGAACGUGCCCAGUAGUGGGGGAUAGCUCGGCGAAAGCCGGAUUAAUACCGCAUACGACCUGAUGGUGAAAGCGGGGGAUCUUCGGACCUCGCGCUAUUGGAGCGGCCGAUGGCAGAUUAGCUAGUUGGUGGGGUAAAGGCCUACCAAGGCGACGAUCUGUAGCUGGUCUGAGAGGACGACCAGCCACACUGGGACUGAGACACGGCCCAGACUCCUACGGGAGGCAGCAGUGGGGAAUUUUGGACAAUGGGCGAAAGCCUGAUCCAGCAAUGCCGCGUGUGUGAUGAAGGCCUUCGGGUUGUAAAGCACUUUUGGCGGGAACGAAAAGGACUGUGCCAAUACCACGGUUCGAUGACGGUACCCGCAGAAUAAGCACCGGCUAACUACGUG